GAUGAAGAACGCAGCGAAAUGCGAUACGUAGUGUGAAUUGCAGAAUUCAGUGAAUCAUCGAAUCUUUGAACGCACAUUGCACCUCUCGGUAUUCCGGGAGGUAUGCCUGUUCGAGCGUCAUUUGUACCCUCAAGCUCUGCUUGGUGUUGGGUGUUUGUUCCGCCUCUGUGUGUGAACUCGCCUCAAAACAAUUGGCAGCCGGCGUACUUGUUUCGGAGCGCAGCACAUUUUGCGAUCCAGAUCAACGUACAGCGGCAUCCAAGAAGCCUUAUUUAACGCUCUUGACCUCGGAUCAGGUAGGGAUACCCGCUGAACUUAAGCAUAUCAAUACGGAGGA
rnacentral:misc_RNA from 1 species